GACGAACGCUGGCGGCGUGCCUAAUACAUGCAAGUAGAACGCACAGUUUAUACCGUAGCUUGCUACACCAUAGACUGUGAGUUGCGAACGGGUGAGUAACGCGUAGGUAACCUGCCUGGUAGCGGGGGAUAACUAUUGGAAACGAUAGCUAAUACCGCAUAAUAUUAAUUAUUGCAUGAUAAUUAAUUGAAAGGUGCAAUUGCACCACUACCAGAUGGACCUGCGUUGUAUUAGCUAGUAGGUGAGGUAACGGCUCACCUAGGCGACGAUACAUAGCCGACCUGAGAGGGUGAUCGGCCACACUGGGACUGAGAAACGGCCCAGACUCCUACGGGAGGCAGCAGUAGGGAAUCUUCGGCAAUGGACGAAAGUCUGACCGAGCAACGCCGCGUGAGUGAAGAAGGGUUUCGGAUCGUAAAGCUCUGUUGUAAGAGAAGAACGGGUGUGAGAGUGGAAAGUUCACACUGUGACGGUAUCUUACCAGAAAGGGACGGCUAACUACGUG
rnacentral:rRNA from 1 species